rnacentral:rRNA from 1 species
GACGAACGCUGGCGGCGUGCCUAAUACAUGCAAGUAGAACGCUGAAGAGAGGAGCUUGCUCUUCUUGGAUGAGUUGCGAACGGGUGAGUAACGCGUAGGUAACCUGCCUUGUAGCGGGGGAUAACUAUUGGAAACGAUAGCUAAUACCGCAUACAAAUGGUUGCACAUUGCAAUUAUUUGAAAGGGGCAAUUUGUCCACUACAAGGUUGACCUUGCGUUGUAUUAGCUAGUAGGUGAGGUAAUGGCUCACCUAGGCGACGAUACAUAGCCGACCUGAGAGGGUGAUCGGCCACACUGGGACUGAGACACGGCCCAGACUCCUACGGGAGGCAGCAGUAGGGAAUCUUCGGCAAUGGGGGCAACCCUGACCGAGCAACGCCGCGUGAGUGAAGAAGGUUUUUGGAUCGUAAAGCUCUGUUGUAAGUCAAGAACGGGUGUGAGAGUGGAAAGUUCACACUGUGACGGUAGCUUACCAGAAAGGGACGGCUAACUACGUG